rnacentral:lncRNA from 1 species
AAAAAUCCAUGUAGAAUUAAUAUAUAUUUUAAUGAAGGCGAAUAAAUAACAAAUGGAUCAACAUGGCUCGUUGGUAGCUACCCCUUCACUGCAAUGUAAAGGUCCUGGGUUUGGUCCCCUAGGACCUAUUUUUUUUAGCUUUUCAGUGUUUUUACUAUGUUUACUCCCUUUCCACUAUAAUUAAUUCACCACUAUUUUUCUAUUAUUAAAAUAAAA